UUCUGGGAGGUGUUCACACAGGGU
rnacentral:piRNA from 1 species